UCGCGACUUCCUGUCGGAAGGGUUUGCUGCUUGGAAUGAAGGGGACGCCAACUCCUCCACGUGCACCCGGCCGUCGGGGUGGAAGUCCUGGGAUCAAAAGAUAAGGCCCUCUGAACCUGGUCAGGCACAGGGUUUUGCCGUUUGAACUCUGGUACCGCCGGAGAGAAAGUGGGAAGUUCCACCCGGCAAAAAGAACGUCAUGGUCCAUCUUGGCUGAUUAAAGCAGCUCCGCACCCACCUUCCCACCCAGAUAUAUCCCCCCCUUUUACCUGGAAGAACCAAGGCUACAAGAGCCAACUGGUAUAACGUGACUGCUCCCUGCCCAGAAGGACAGGAAAGGGAUGACAGACCCUAAGGAUGAUGUGUCCAAACACAACCAAUAGGAAUAAUGUAUGGCAAUAUAUCAUAGGAUGCGUCCUCCUCAAAAGCCACUUUCCUCUGCUGCAACUAAGCCUGUGACGAAGCUUCACCCAUUUCAGAAAUGGAGCCUGUAUGCCGAUCCUCUCUUCUCCCUCCCCCACCCCCUGUCCAGGUCUAUUUUCAUCUUUUGCCAUCAAGUAUUCAAGAAAAAGAAGAUGAAAUUGCCACUAUGAUUUGAAAUGUGCUGUCUAAAAACAGCAAGUGUUGGCGAGAGAAUCUUGGACUUCUGUUGGAGGCUAGUGUGGCUAAGUGUCAAGCCACUUCUGGAAAUACAGCAGAAUCAAGUGGACAUUUAGCAGUUAUUUCCAUGUGAAUUGCUUCCACGGGGGGAAAUCCAUUUGCAGCCUGUUAACCUGAAAAAUCAUGGGAGUUCAGCAUUUUCUUUUCCCUGGGCUUUUCUUGGAAUCACACCACUCCCACUCACGUAACAAAAUUUGGAGUGGUAUCCUGGCAUACAGAAGAGUGCAUGUGCAGAGUGGUGGAGUCUGACAUUCCCCUUGAUGUCCAUUGUGUCACACUACAUGCCUUCUGAUAUGAAUGAAAUGUAGCACAAUAUGAUGGUAUAGUGAUUAAAAAAACCCCACAGGUCCAUCACUGCCCAAGGUCACCCAGUGAGCUUCAUGGCCGAGUGGGGAUUUGAAUCCUGGUUUCCUAGGUCCCAAUCUAACCACUACGCCACGCUGUCUUGAAGCCUGCAUGCUUCCUCAUUACAGCCUGGGUUACCCCACAAACUGUCAGUCUUGGUCUCAUGCUUAAGCCAUAUUCACACCAGACAUUUAGUCCACUUUUAUUCCACUUUAAAACAUCAUGGCUUCCCCUAAAGAAUCCUGAGGACUGUAGUUUGUUAACAGGUGCUGAGAAUUGUUAGGAGACCCCCUGUUCCUCUCAUAGAGUUCUCUGUGCAGAAGGAUUGACUGUUAAAACCAGUCUAGGAACUGUAGCUCUGUGAGGGGAAUAGGGGUCUCCUAACAACUCCUAACACCCUUCACAAACUACACUUCCCAGGAUUCCUUGGGGAAACCAUGACUGUUUAAAGUGGGAUAAAAGUGAAAUAAAUGUCUGGUGUGGACGUGGCCUUACAUUCAUACCUCCGUUGUCCACUGAGGUGUUCCAGCAUGAUUCAUAGACAGUUUUUCAGCUACUGACUAAAUCCAUCCACGUACUGACUAAAACCAAACCAACCUAGUUGGAUAGGAAGUAAAAUCAGGAGAUUCCUUUAUGAUGGACCCCCCCCAAAAAAAUCUGGUCUCUAUAUGAACAUAAGAAGAGCCUCCAGGAUCAGGCCGAUGGCCCAUCUAGUCCAGCAUCUUGCGCUCACAACCAGAUGCCUCUAUGGGAAGCCCACAAGCAGGACCUGAGCGCAAGACCACUCCCCCCACCUGUGGUUUCCAGCAACUGGUUUUCUGAAAUGUGCUGCCUCAACUAUGGCGGAAGAGCAUAGCCAUCAGAGCUAGAAGCCACUGAUAGCCUCAUCAAUGAGCUUUUUUUUUUCUUAUUACUUUGUAGUCUCCUUGCGAACUGAGUUUUCAGCAAAGGUUUGGAAGAUGUUCUUCCGUUAUAUAAACAAGGACACUUAUUUUUAAUAAUUUACAUAGAUCCUGUCGACCUCAACAGGGUAUUUUAAUGAAUAACUUAUUGGACGUUGUCACCUAGUAACGGGUCAGCUUCCCCUUUGCAUUUCAUUUUGAAGGGGGCAGAACCAGUCUUUGAUUGGAUUAACAGGAAUGAAACUGCAGGGAUGAAAUUAUAAAAUAUCCAACUGUUAUUUCUAUAAUGCCUCCUGCUUACAAACGAAGCUCUGAUUUUUAUCACAGCGGACUCAGCAUCUCUGUGCAUAAGCGCCUCUCUAGACUCUGAGGCGGGCAGAGGGGAGAGGACGUAUUUCCCUGAAUUAAGAGCACCUUUCAUCUUUAUCUCUCAGUUUAUGUGCUGAUUAGACCUCUCUUUUCAAGGGGUGGAUCAUCCUUGCUUGAUCCCAGGAAACCUCAGAAGGCUCGCAACCAAAGGAAGGGAUCUGGCUUCUCCAAUGAGUUGAGUUUCAGGGAUAAUCCCCCCCUUUUUUUUUUCUGGAGAGCCUAUGCUUCAGUAGCUGAAAUGAUUGGAGAUGCCUGAAGCCCUUGCACAGCCGAACGGAUGUAAGCAUCAUUUUGGCUGACAGGUUUUCCCUACCCCAUCUGCAGUUGCAAGGGAAUCAUUCUAUUUCCCAGGUCUCUCAGGAUGGGAAAGGUCUUGUGCAUCAUUACUGCUAGGCAAAUGUAACUGACUCUAUCACAUACCCUAAUUCACUUGCCAUAAUUAUAGGUUGCUCACUCUCUGCGUGUGCGUGUGUGUGCAAUUUAUUUAUUUUUGUUCUUAUCAGUCAUAAAUAAAGU